rnacentral:rRNA from 1 species
UACGAAGGGUGCUAGCGUUGCUCGGAAUCACUGGGCUUAAAGGGUGCGUAGGCGGGCAGGUAAGUCAGUGGUGAAAUCUCCGAGCUUAACUUGGAAACUGCCGUUGAUACUAUCUGCCUUGAAUAUUGUGGAGGUGAGCGGAAUAUGUCAUGUAGCGGUGAAAUGCCUAGAUAUGACAUAGAACACCAAUUGCGAAGGCAGCUCGCUACACAUAUAUUGACGCUGAGGCACGAAAGCGUGGGGAUCAAACAGG